rnacentral:miRNA from 1 species
UCAUUCAAUAUUGCCGGUUUGAAC